rnacentral:rRNA from 1 species
GGCAAUAUCCUGUGAGCUGGACCGAAGAAAGGCUCCUCGUUCACAUGGCAAAGUAUCUUUGCGGGGAUACAAACGUUCAAGCGGGGGUGUAUUUGGAGGGUGGGUACGGGCUCACAGAUCAAUAUCUGGGAGGACCCAUGGAUUCCAUCAAGCCCGAUCAGGAAAGUAAUUACCCCUCGAGGGGGAGUUAUGUUGUCAAAAGUGCAAGAUAUAAUUGACCCACAUACGAGUCAGUGGGAUGAGGCACUUAUUCAGAGUGUGUUCUCACAAGUUGAUGUAAGCAGAAUAUUACAAAUCCCACUCCAAGUUGAAGUUACAGAAGAUCUUGUGGCAUGGCAAUUCACCAAGUCUGGAACAUUUUCAGUACGCUCGGCUUAUUAUGUGGAGUUUGAUCACCAGUUCGGUCGGCAUUACAGAGAAGUUAAUAGUCCAGGAACUGCUCAGCUAAACGGGGUCUGGAAGGAGGUUUGGCGCCUCCGAUUACCAGGGAAGAUUAAGCACUUUGGUUGGAAAGUGCUUAAAGGAGUAUUACUGUGCUACGGUGUGCUAGCGGACAGACAUAUUCCCUUGAUCCCACAAUGCCCAAUAUGCAAGGUUGGCUUGGAAGAUAUCCAACACUGUUUAUUCACAUGUGAUAGAGCUCGACUUGUGUGGGCAUCGCUAGGACUAACAGAGGAGAUUGAUAAUGCUGUU